rnacentral:rRNA from 1 species
UCGGGAAUUUUGGGCAAUGGGCGAAAGCCUGACCCAGCAACGCCGCGUGAAGGAUGAAGUAUUUCGGUAUGUAAACUUCGAAAGAAUAGGAAGAAUAAAUGACGGUACUAUUUAUAAGGUCCGGCUAACUACGUGCCAGCAGCCGCGGUAAUACGUAGGGACCAAGCGUUGCUCGGAUUUACUGGGCGUAAAGGGCGCGUAGGCGGCAAUUCAAGUCAUCUGUGAAAUCUCCGGGCUUAACUCGGAACGGUCAGAUGAUACUGCUUUGCUAGAGUGCAGAAGGGGCAAUCGGAAUUCUUGGUGUAGCGGUGAAAUGCGUAGAUAUCAAGAGGAACACCUGAGGUGAAGGCGGCUUCCUGGACUCAUACUGACGCUGAGGCACGAAAGCAUGGGGAGCAAACAGGAUUAGAUACCCCAGUAGUCCCUGAGCGGGCUGGCAAGGCGCAU